GGACGUUGAGCAACGGCUGUGUGAUAAAGACGCCUUUGAUGCCCUGGUGGCGAAAAUCGCAAAAAUCGGUGGGAAGAGCACCAAGGACUGUGUCCACAAAGUUCUUGACGGACUCUUCACCAAUGCCCUCAUGAGUCAGUUUAACAUGAAGGGAAGG